GAUGGAAGAGCGUCUAAUCCGACAGCAACAGGAAAUGGAAGAAGAUCAGCGCUGGCUGGAAAAAGAGGAAAGAUUUCUGAAACCUGAUGUGAGACUCUCUCGAGGCAGUAUUGACAGGGAGGAUGGAAGUCUUCAGGGUCCGAUUGGAAACCAACAUAUAUAUCAGCCUGUGGGUAAACCAGAUCCUGCAGCUCCACCAAAGAAACCGCCUCGCCCUGGAGCUCCCGGUCAUCUGGGAAGCCUUGCCAGCCUCAGCAGCCCUGCUGACAGCUAC
rnacentral:misc_RNA from 1 species